GAAUCCGCYAAGGAGUGUGUAACAACUCACCUGCCGAAUGAAUUAGCCCUGAAAAUGGAUGGCGCUCAAGCGGGUAGCCGACACCACACCGUCUAAAUGAGAUCCUGAUUUAGAUGAGUAGGAGGAACGUGGCGGUUGUUUGGAAGCGUUAGGUGCAAACCUGCGUGGAACGGCCGCUAGUGCAGAUCUUGGUGUUAGUAGCAAAUAUUCAAAUGAAAACCUUGAAGGGCGACGCGAGGAAGGGUUCCACGCCAACAUUGAUUGAGCGUGGGUUAGUCGUUCCUAAGCCGUUUGGUAAUUCCUAUCUUACCGGCGAAAGGGAAGCAAGUUGAUAUUCUUGCACAUGUACAUGAAUGCGGCGACGCGCAUCUGGCGCCCCUAAAUGGGCCGUGGCUCUGGGCAGAGAUCUCUUUUCUGUUUAACUUGGUUUCGAUAUGCUGUGUGGAAUCCGAUUGUCGGGAGAAACACGCAUGUUCGGGCAUAGCGCCGGUAUUUUGCCGGCGUCCAGUACGCCAUCGCCGAUCCUUGAAACGGGGCGUGCAGGCAGGCUUUAUUGUCUGUGAGAAACUUUCAUGUCAUGACGUACCGAUAACCGCAUCAGGUCCUCAAGGUGAACAGCCUCUGCUCGAUAUGAUAAAUGCAGGUAAGGGAAGUCGGCA
rnacentral:rRNA from 1 species